rnacentral:rRNA from 1 species
AGAGUUCGAUCCUGGCUCAGGAUGAACGCUAGCGACAGGCUUAACACAUGCAAGUCGAGGGGCAGCGGGGAUGGUGCUUGCACCAUCUGCCGGCGACCGGCGCACGGGUGAGUAACACGUAUGCAACCUGCCCAUCGCAGGGGGAUAAUCGGGAGAAAUUCCGUCUAAUACCGCGUAACACCAUGGCAAGACAUCUCGCCAUGGUCAAAGGAGUGAUCCGGCGAUGGAUGGGCAUGCGGCGCAUUAGCUAGUCGGCGGGGUAACGGCCCACCGAGGCGACGAUGCGUAGGGGUUCUGAGAGGAAGGUCCCCCACACUGGUACUGAGACACGGACCAGACUCCUACGGGAGGCAGCAGUGAGGAAUAUUGGUCAAUGGCCGGGAGGCUGAACCAGCCAAGUCGCGUGAGGGAAGACGGCCCUAUGGGUUGUAAACCUCUUUUGUCAGGGAGCAAAGCCGGUCACGUGUGACCGGGAGGAGAGUACCUGAAGAAAAAGCAUCGGCUAACUCCGUGCCAGCAGCCGCGGUAAUACGGAGGAUGCGAGCGUUAUCCGGAUUUAUUGGGUUUAAAGGGUGCGUAGGCCGGCUGUUAAGUCAGCGGUAAAAUUGAGAGGCUUAACCUCUUCGAGCCGUUGAAACUGGCGGUCUUGAGUGGGCGAGAAGUAUGCGGAAUGCGUGGUGUAGCGGUAAAAUGCAUAGAUAUCACGCAGAACUCCGAUUGCGAAGGCAGCAUACCGGCGCCCGACUGACGCUGAAGCACGAAAGCGUGGGUAUCGAACAGGAUUAGAUACCCUGGUAGUCCACGCAGUAAACGAUGAAUACUAGCUGUCCGGGGCGAAUGAGCCUUGGGUGGCACAGCGAAAGCGUUAAGUAUUCCACCUGGGGAGUACGCCGGCAACGGUGAAACUCAAAGGAAUUGACGGGGGCCCGCACAAGCGGAGGAACAUGUGGUUUAAUUCGAUGAUACGCGAGGAACCUUACCCGGGCUCAAACGCCGGAUGCCGUACACCGAAAGGUGUAUUUUCUUCGGAACAUCCGGCGAGGUGCUGCAUGGUUGUCGUCAGCUCGUGCCGUGAGGUGUCGGCUUAAGUGCCAUAACGAGCGCAACCCCUAUCGACAGUUGCUAACGGGUCAAGCCGAGGACUCUGUCGAGACUGCCGGCGCAAGCUGUGAGGAAGGCGGGGAUGACGUCAAAUCAGCACGGCCCUUACGUCCGGGGCGACACACGUGUUACAAUGGCGGGUACAGCGGGAAGCCACCUGGCGACAGGGCGCGGAACCCGAAAACCCGUCUCAGUUCGGAUUGGAGUCUGCAACCCGACUCCAUGAAGCUGGAUUCGCUAGUAAUCGCGCAUCAGCCAUGGCGCGGUGAAUACGUUCCCGGGCCUUGUACACACCGCCCGUCAAGCCAUGGAAGCCGGGAGUACCUGAAGUGCGUGACCGCAAGGAGCGCCCUAAGGUAAGACUGGUGACUGGGGCUAAGUCGUAACAAGGUAACC